rnacentral:rRNA from 1 species
UACGUAGGGUGCAAGCGUUGUUCGGAAUCACUGGGCGUAAAGCGCACGUAGGCGGAUCUUUAAGUCAGGGGUGAAAUCCUGGAGCUCAACUCCAGAACUGCCUUUGAUACUGGGGAUCUCGAGUCCGGAAGAGGUGAGUGGAACUCCGAGUGUAGAGGUGAAAUUCGUAGAUAUUCGGAAGAACACCAGUGGCGAAGGCGGCUCACUGGUCCGGUACUGACGCUGAGGUGCGAAAGCGUGGGGAGCAAACAGG